rnacentral:rRNA from 1 species
UACGUAGGUGGCAAGCGUUGUCCGGAUUUACUGGGCGUAAAGAGCGCGCAGGCGGUCGUUCAAGUCGCGUGUGAAAGCCCCCGGCUCAACUGGGGAGGGUCACGCGAUACUGAUCGACUCGAAGGCAGGAGAGGGUAGUGGAAUUCCCGGUGUAGUGGUGAAAUGCGUAGAUAUCAGGAGGAACACCGAUGGCGAAGGCAGGUCUCGCU